rnacentral:tRNA from 1 species
AAUUAAUGAACUUGAUAUAAGUAUUUAUUUUGAAAAUAAAAAAAAGAAUAAUAAAUUCUAUUAAUUU